rnacentral:lncRNA from 1 species
UUGUGUAUCCCACGUCACUAAUCACAAAGUUCAUAAAAAUUUUCUCCAAAUGAAAUAGAAAACUUUUCUGCCAUGUUUGAAUCAAAUAAGGCAACAAUUUCAAUAAACACUAGAAAUGUAAGAAUGACUUAGGGCUGAAUACAAAUAACCAGAAUAAAUACACCAAAAAAAUCCCUUUUGGCACACCAGGAAAAUUGAAUUAGGUCAGACUAGUAAUUUCAAAGGAGAACCUGUCCUAAUGUAACUGGUGAACUCAAAGUCAUCACCAUCAAAAGGUAUUAUCUGGACCUGGUAGACUUAUUCUUGAGAUAAAAUGAUUUACAAUUCAAAACGUUCAGUUGGUCUAUGCAAGAUGCAUCAUUUAUAACACUGCCACCAGCCCAUAUCAAUAUCCAUAGCCAGCAAUCAUUUUGACAAUUCAAAACCUGUGCAAAUAGAACCCGUUGAAACUUCAUUUUUGUAACAGGACAUACAGUGAAUAGUCUUUUAUAAAAUUACCAGUGCCUAUGCAAACAAAAUCUUCUGACAUUUAUUGUAAUAGGCAUCUGUACAUAAUUCACAUAGACUUUAAAUACAAAAACAAAA